rnacentral:rRNA from 1 species
CGUUAGCGGCGGACGGGUGAGUAACACGUGGGUAACCUACCUAUAAGACUGGGAUAACUUCGGGAAACCGGAGCUAAUACCGGAUAAUAUUUCGAACCGCAUGGUUCGAUAGUGAAAGAUGGUUUUGCUAUCACUUAUAGAUGGACCUGCGCCGUAUUAGCUAGCUGGUAAGGUAACGGCUUACCAAGGCGACGAUACGUAGCCGACCUGAGAGGGUGAUCGGCCACACUGGAACUGAGACACGGUCCAGACUCCUACGGGAGGCAGCAGUC